rnacentral:rRNA from 1 species
GAUGAACGCUGGCGGCGUGCUUAACACAUGCAAGUCGAACGGUGAAGCAGGAGCUUGCUCCUGUGGAUCAGUGGCGAACGGGUGAGUAACACGUGAGCAGUCUGCCCUGGACUCUGGGAUAAGCGUUGGAAACGACGUCUAAUACCGGAUACGCGGCGUGGGGGCAUCCCCAACGCCUGGAAAGAACUUCGGUCCAGGAUGAGCUCGCGGCCUAUCAGGUAGUUGGUGAGGUAACGGCUCACCAAGCCUACGACGGGUAGCCGGCCUGAGAGGGUGACCGGCCACACUGGGACUGAGACACGGCCCAGACUCCUACGGGAGGCAGCAGUGGGGAAUAUUGCACAAUGGGCGCAAGCCUGAUGCAGCAACGCCGCGUGAGGGACGACGGCCUUCGGGUUGUAAACCUCUUUUAGCAGGGAAGAAGCGAAAGUGACGGUACCUGCAGAAAAAGCACCGGCUAACUACGUGCCAGCAGCCGCAGUAAAAC